rnacentral:lncRNA from 1 species
AGUAAGUCCAGGAAGGACUGAAUUUUAUCAGCUUCAGAAGUGACUAUGAGGCAGGUGGAUCAAGAUCCACUUUGAGAAAUCCGAGGCACAGGCUACUUGGAGGAAAGCAGUGACAGACAAGGUAGAAAGGCAGUAUGGGGCCAGGUCAUAGAAAGCCUUGAACGCCACGCUACAGAGGUUGGUCUUCAUUUGAUUGGUGAUGGGGUGUUGUAUCUGUGCUUUAAAAUGGUUCUAAUCUGCUUGAAAAGUUUAAAAUGUUCCAUCCUUUUUAAAAAGUAAAAUGCUAAAAGGAAUCUAUAAGCUUGGGGAAUUUACUGUAGAAAGUCAGUAGUUCCCUUAAUGAUUUCGUUAAUUGAAUGUAGAGGUGUUGGCUGGAAGUGUAAGUAGGAAUGAGCUGGGGUGGCUGCUGGGGCACGCCUGCUUGAAAAAGGAUAAAAACCACUGUGGUCACAGGAUCAACAUGGACAUGCCUUUCCCAACAGAAAUGGGUGUUAGAAACUGAGAAAUUGGGAUAAUUUUGUUUGGGAGUGUUAUUUUUUUUUCUUUGGGAUUUUUGCUUUGAAAUGUAGGAACACACGGGGUAUAUUCUAUAAAGAAGAGUCUUGAGAAGCAGUUAAACUUUCAGGUUCCAGGACCCCUUUACUCUUCUAUAAAUUAUAGACCCCCAAAACUUUGUUCCUCCAUAUAUUUAUUAUAUUAUAAAUUAAUAUUGUUUAAUAGUAUUUGUUCAUUUAAUAUAGCAAUAAUAAAGCUUGACCUAUUAGUAUAAAUAACCAUUGUUUUUUUUUUAAGAAAAAACAACUCUAUUGUCCAAACUCCAAAAAUAAAAUUAAUUAGAAAAAAGUAGGUUUUGUUUUGCAUAUUUAAUGUCCAGCUUCAUAUAUAACAGCUGGAUUCUCACAUCUGCUUCUCCUUUCAAUUUGUUGAGAUAUCACAUGCAUCCAUGAAAAAAUGGACGAUAAAGGGCAAAUCAUUCAUUAAUUGUAUUAUUAAAUGGGACAAAUCAUUUAUUGACUUUAUCAUGAAAAUAGUUUGGACUUUGCAAUAUCAGUCUGCAGGACCCAAGGAUAUCUAGGACAUACUCUGAAUGCACUACAUUCACUGUCUCAAAUGAUACAAUCAAGCUUAACGAUCACUAGUUGAUGCCCAUGUGAGGCUCUGAAAUACAAGUGUUAUACAAAUCCAGAGGAACCAGGAAGGCACCUGGUUCUAGCUCUGUUUAGAAUCAGGAGAAGCCAAAAUGAUGUGGGGUUUUUUUUUUUGUUUGUUUUUUUAUUUAUUUUUUUAUUGGUUGUUCAAAACAUUACAAAGCUCUUGACAUAUCAUAUUUCAUACAUUAGAUUCAAGUGGGUUAUGAAUUCCCAUUUUUACCCCAAAUACAGAUUGCAGAAUCACAUCGAUUACACAUCCACAUUUUUACAUAAUGCCAUAUUAGUAACUGUUGUAUUCUGCUACCUAAAAUGAUGUUAAGCAGUAACUCUAGGUAGUUAAAGAUGAAUGAGGGAAAUGUCAGAAAGCACCCAAAAUUUGUUUUCUUUAAAUUUUGCUCUAAAGGAAUUCAUGGCACUAACUAUGCAUCAUAAUGACUCUUUUUUAAAAACUGAGAAAGUUUGUUUUAAAAGGUAGUUAUCCAAAUCUUACUUCAAAAGAUUUGGAACUUUGCCAGGAGGGGCAGGACAAAGAUAUUUUUAACCAGCUACACAAAUGAUUCUGCUUUUCUGCAGAGUACAGGAACCUCUAGCUCCUAUAUUUGUUUCAUAAAUCAUAAAAAGGCAAUGUAAUUGUAUUUGUGACAUUAGUUUUGACUUCUGUUUUCAUUGGUUCUUUUUAACUAUACAUGACAAUAGAAUUCAUUUUGACAUAAUUAUAAAAGCAUUUUUAUAAUUUGUUCUAAUUCUGUCCCCAGUACAUCCACUUCUCCUUCCUUCCUCCCACUGUUCCCUUCCCUCUAUUCUAUUAGUCUUUCUGCUAUUUACUCAUAGUUGUAUUUUUUUAAUCAGCAUCUUGUCGAUGAACAUGAUGGUGGGAUUCACUGUGGCAUAUUCAUAUAUGUACACAGGAAUAUUAGGUCAGUGUCAUUCCUAUCCCAUCUCUCCUCUCUCCCUUUCAUUCCCCUUUGUCUACCCCACUGAUCAUUCUUCUACUGACUUCUGUUUCUUUUUUUUUUAUUUGUUCUCAUUAGCUAUACAUGACAGCAGAAUGCAUUUCGAUCAUUGUACAUAAAUGGAACACAACUUUUCAUUUCUCUUGUUGUACAUGAUGUAGAGUCAUACUGUAUAUGCAGUCACACAAGUACCUAGGGUAACAAUGUUCAUCUCAUUCCACCAGACUUCUGUUUCUAAAUGAAGACGACUUCCUAGGAUUUUAUCUACAAGUGAAAACCACCCAGCUUUUAAAAAUAAUGUACCCAUAAUUUAAGUCUUGAGGAUAGUCCCUACCGAGAAACAUGGACUUUUUCAUACAAGCAUCCUGUUUUUUAAAAAUAUAACCCUAAAUUAAAGGGAUGAAAAAAUGCCACUGCUUUCAUGAAACAAAUAAUGGAUGCCUUGUUUUCAUAAUAAACAUUUAAGAGAGCUUGUUCCUAAUGGAAACUAUUGUUACUGAUUAAAAAUCUUCUUGGGGAGGAAAAAAGUACCUUCAUAUACAAUCUCCAUUGGGGAUGCAAAUUGGACAGAAACAUACACCAAAGGAUUUGCAUUUAAUCAAAUCCAAAGCAAGUCAUUUCAGAAGCAUCUCCACUGAGUACAGAAGGCUUUUCCACUAGGAUAAGGCUGAGCUCUCCAGGGGAUCAGGAUCCCUUACCAAGGAGUGGACACCAUUUGCAGAGGCCCUGUACUGCUGCUUCUAAGAAGGAAAUUCACCAAAAUCAUCCAGAAUGGAGAGUGGUAAGUCAAGGUCAAUUGUUACAAUUUUUUUAAAAUUUAAUAAUUCUAAUUUUUAUUUUUGACAUCACAAAAUUAUAACACAAAGCAAAGGUAAAGAAGAAAUAGCACUAAUUUUGACUAGAACAUAUAAAAAUACUGACCAGAAACCAACUAUUUAGAACUCUUGGUAACAUGUUAACAAUUCUAGACACAUUUAAUUAUUAAUUAUUAGAUGUAAUUUUGCUGUAUUGAAUUUAGGUAUGUACUCUGAAAGAUCGAUUUAACUAACAUUAUUUUUAUAAAAUUAUUAUCUGAAUAUUAAUGCAUUAUUCUCUACAAUUGUGAAAUUUUAUGUUAAAUGAAACAACUUCUGUUAAGUCCUCAAUUAUGAAGUCCAGAAAUACCUUUAUUCAGGCAUCUUGCUUUCAGCUCUUAAGGCUAGGAUGAAAGGCAAUACACUAACACAUGAUAAGUAAGAGAUUCUCAUUUCCUGGAUUCAAACUACAUACAGAUCUUCAUCCUGAAGAUACGAGUAUUAGUGUCAAUAUAGAGAAUAAAACCCCACCUGUUCAGGAAUAAAUUUGAGAUAUAAACUUUAGCAUUUAAAAUGUUAAUAAAUAAUGACAGAUAAAAUAUUUCAAAAAUGCUUUGUAAGCUAUCUUGAAAAAAUAUUUUUUAAAAUCACAGAUCUUCUUAUCAAAAAGAUAAGGAGAUAGUUAGAAAAUCACCUAUCUUCUGCAACAUGGAAUUGGUUACUGGCAGUAGUGCUGUUUUGUGAUCCAACUAUGAGCCUUACAAGGUGGGAAUGGAGGGGAUGUCAGGAGAGACUGUGGAUAGCAAUAGUGUCGGCAAACCAAACUUCACCUAAAUCCUAAUAUAUUGACUAAUUUGGCCUUCCAUCCUUAAAAUUUUCAGUCUUUCUGAUUUCAUAAGCAGUAUGCAUUAUUUUCUAUUUAAUAAUUUGAACAUUUAAUUAGUGGACAAAUUUGGAGACUCUAUGUUGCCUCUCCUUGUAUCUCCUUGGAGGUUUCCCACAGUAAAACUAAUAUAUUCUCUUCCUAGAUCAGAAGUAGAAUACAAACAAUAGCUUCUAGCAUGCCCGGCACUAGUACUAUUUACUCCUGGGCAGACAUCUGCCUUCCCCUCAGUGAGAGGGCUCGAUCCUCAGCAAGGCAAGCCUGUUGGGGUGGAAAGAGAGGUCCCCAAAGGAUAAGAGGGGUAGCUUAGCCAGACAGUGACCCAACAUACCAUAUUGCCACUGCAUUUUCUGGAACCUCAUUGUUGGCCCUUUCCUGACAGGCAGAGAAUGGAACAAAGAUGCAGAAUAUCCAACAAUAACCCAUCAUUCGGAUUUUUACUCUGUUCUGUCUUGAUUGACAAUGUGCCUCCAUGCCAAAGUCACGAGGGAUGAUAGUUCAGAGACAUCAUCUACUAUCUUCAUUGUCCAGUUGCAGAACUCAAAAUAGAAAUGCUUCUUUUCUAAAGUAACUUUCUUUUUUAUUUGUGUUUGUUUCACGUGCUCUCUUUAUUUCCUUACCUUCUGUCACAAGCUUAGACUCUCUAAUGAAUUUCAAAGUAAAAAAUGCCCUCCACAAAAAUGUCAUCAGAAAUGUAGAAUUAGAAUGAAUUUCAAAUAUGGAAAGUGGACUUACCAUUUAAUCACUAAGAAUGGUUUAGGAAUCACCUGCAUUUUAAUUAUUAAAUCAAUUUCAGAAUAUACCAGUGUGAUUUGAUACAAAAAAAUGUUUAAUUUUCAAAAUAAUAUUAAAGUGAUAGCUGCAUUAAAUCUAUUAUGGACUAAACUCUCCAUCAAAAAAGGGGGAAGAAUAAGGAUGUCACAAGGCUAAAACAAUUUGCUGGGCUGGGGGCAUAGAUCAGUGGUAGAGCACUUGCCUAGCAGGCUCAAGACCUAGGUUUGAUCCCCAGCAUUGCAAAAAAUAAAAUAUUUUUUUCUAAUAAAAAUAAAAAAACAUUCUGCUGUAUGAACAUAAUUGCAAUCAUACAGUGCCAAAUUUUUAUUCCAAAUUCUAAAGGAAAAAUUGAUUGCUAUUGAUAAAUUUGCUUGUGCUUUCUCUCCGGAAACACUUGUCUUUGUUUUCUUAACAACUAAUCUGAAUGCAAGUUUGUAUCUAGAGGAUUUGAAUAAAAACUCUUAAGCUCUCCUGGUUUAUGCAGGUGUGGAUUCUUUAAAUAGACACAUGCACAGAAAAAAAAAUGUUUGAGACUAGGAAUACUGGCAAUAUUUUUUGAACUCUAUAUAUCAUGUCUGUCUUAAAAAAAAUAGAAAAGGAGAUUCAGAAAUUUCCCAGAACUCAAAAAUCAUGAAAAAUACUCCAGAUGGGAUUUUAAAUAAUUUGUUCAGGCUCCAUGCUUUGUCAAAGUCAAUUUCCCUUCUGAGCUGUUGUAAAGUGUAGGUGUUGGCCUUCCUGGACCACAGCAUGGGAGCAUCGUUUUAGCCAUGUUCCCAUGAAACCCCCAAAGAAAGGACAUCUCCACCUUUGUCUUAUGAAAGUAUUCUUUCCCAAGUUCUAAGCCCAUGGCCUUUCUUGCCUUCACUUUCCUCAAUUUCUCUAAGGCAUUUUGUAUAUACUACAAGCACUUAUUGAGAACCUGGGUGUCAGAUGCAUAACAGAACUGGUGGUAACCCACUUGCUCUCUGAUCCUUCUUCCUUCAUUCCCUUGAUGUUUCUGCUCUGGUACACAGUGACCUUUUGGGCCUUGCCCCUUCCCCCACCCUGCACCCCUCCCACAGUGGCCCUUCUCCGUCCCUUCCUUCCCCUGGGCUCAGAACUGCAGCCAUUUCCCAAUGCUCUGUACUUGAACUGUACUCUUCUAUUGCAAAGUCCACCUUGGAAAACUUUAUUUUCAUUGCUUUAAUUCUCAUAGUUUUUAAGAUGUUUCUUGGAUGUAGAGUUCUAGCCCAGGUUCUAGUUUUAGGUACGGGAUAUUUUUAAUUUAAUUUGAUUAUGUCACCACAACCUCAAAGUCAACAUAGUCAAAAUUGAAUUCUUCUUUCCCUAUCAGAAUCAACACUCUACUCUGCCUUCUUAGAUUUCUCCUCUUAAUCAUGGUGUUGUUUUAUUGUGUGUGUGUGUUGUUGUUUUUGUUGUUGUUUUUCUCUUAAAUCUGCCCUUUCCCUGUCACAUCCAGGUUUGAGGCUAGCCUCUGUUUGUAAUUUCUUACUCCCUCCACUUCUUCAUCUUUAGCCAUUCUAGGAUCUACGCUCAGAUCCAUCUUUCAAAAAAUUUUUCAACUCUUCCAAAAAAUAUGAUACACAAUAUUCUUAUGUUGAAAAAAAUCUAAUUGUUUCCAUCACCUAUGACAUAAAGCAUAAUCAUGCCCUAACUGCAUGAAGGACAGCGCUUCCAUGAUAUUGUGUCACCUAGUGACAUCAUAGUCAUUUUAAAUUGUAUAAGUACACUCUCUGGUGUUUGCACAAUGAUGAAAUCACCUAACGACACAUUUCUCAGAACACGUUCCAGUCUCUAAGCAAUGUAUGACUACAUAUAUUUAUAUAGUCAGGUUUUUAAGAUCUUCAGCACCUCAUUAUCAACAGCAACAACAAAAUGCUUUCAACAGAUGUUUACUGGAAAGCUGCGUGGAACUUAAGAGUCUUGCAAGGAGCAAACAAUAAAUCUCUACAUACAAAAAUUUUACAGAACUUUAUAAAGUGGCAAGUGCUACAUGGGAAUAAGUAGUGCAGGAUAAGGGGGAUCAAGCAAAUUUUAUGAGGAAGGUGCAAACUGAAAUAUGUUCUCAUUGAGAAGCUGACAUUUGAGCCAAGACUUGAAGGAGGAAAGAAUAGUUAGCCAUGUGGAUAAAAGGAGGAAGAAUAUUCUAGCUGGUAGACGUGGCCAGUGCAAAGUCUCAAGGCAAAAGUGCUUGGUACAUUUCAGAAAACUGGCUACAGUACAAUGGGCAAAGAGUAGAACCUUGGGAAACGAGAACAGAGGUAUAAGCAUAGGGUCACAUAGGACCAUUUUAAGGACUGUGGCUUUUACUCUGAGUGAAAUGAAGAACCACUGUAGGAUUUUGAAAAGAGCAGUGACCAAAUUGGACUUUCUUUUUUGAAAGGAUCACUAUGGCUGCUCUGUUGAAAGCAGACUGAACCAGGGGUGAAGGGUAGUACAGGAGGACCAGUAGAAGGCUCCUGCAAUAAUCUCCAUUAAAUGACAAUAGAGAGAACCUGGAUAUUAGAGAUGGAGGUGAAGAUAAGUCAGCAGACUCUGGAUCUAUUGUGUAGGUGGCCCUAUUGUGUAUUCCCAAAAAAAUGGUUGUGAAGUUGUAAAGGACUCCAGCCUUGAAAUUGAGAAACUAAAAGGAUGGAGUUGCCAUCAACCGAGGUGGAGAGGACUUCAGGUAAAACCAAAAUGAAUGGGAAGAAUGAAAGUUCAGAUUUGGACAUGUAGAAUUUGAGAUGUCUACGGACAUGCAAAUAUAGGUGGAUAUCCAAGUCUCAAGUCCAGGUCAGAGCUGGGCUAUCCAUUUGAAGUUCAUCUAUGUCUACAAGAAGUUCUGAUCUGGUUAUUUGCCAUCUUGUAAAUUUCAUUCCUCUAUUAAUUACUAUGUAGUUAUUUUUUAAACUUAUUUAGAAGAGGCAUAUUUCCCCUAAGCUCUUUGGCAUACACAGAAAGUAUGAAUCACUAAUUCAGAUUGAAGUCAUCACUUAAAAAGCCUUUCAGAAUAAAGGGAAGCCAAGACUGUCUGGGAACACACAAAUGACCCAGCCUGGACCUCUUCUUCAACUCCGCCCCCUCCUCCUCCACAGGCCCAAGUCCACACCUACUAUCAAUCACUCAGAUGUUCCCCUUCUUGCUCAACCAGAACUGCCUGAAUUUAGAAUUGCCCCCCGCCCAACACACUCUGCCACACACAGGAACCUCACUCAUAAAGAUAUUCGUAGUUCUCAAACUUCAGAGAACACCAUGGUUAGUUAAACCCAUUCCUAAGGUUUCUAGGGUGCUUUGGGGUAGGACCUGAGAAUCUACAUUCCUACUAAGUUUCUAGCCAAUGUUGAUACUGAAGGUCUAGGAAUCAAACUUUGAGAAUCACCUGUGCUUAUUCUUGAUUUGACUCAUCUAUCUGGUUCUGACCCUUGCCUUCUUCCAACCUUGAGUGUCUGAGUUACUCUCCUCCUCCAGGCUGCUGCAUGUAUAUUGGGGCUGUCUUAGUCCCUGGCAAUACCAUUCUUCCCCACUUACCACCCACCCUUCCUUAUUUUAGUGUCAGAGGCUGAGGACCAAUUUGUGUCCUUGAUUCCACUAUAUGUCUUCCUCUUUGAAGUCUCCUUCUCUCAUUUUUCCCCUUUUCCAAAAUCUUAAGUCUUUCCCUCCAUUCCAUUCAAAUAUCCUCAAUUCCCACUACUGAUAAAUACACAGAGUUAUAAAGCAUAAGCAAACCUCUCUGUGACAAUGUAAUUCCUUCCAACCAUCACCCAAUCUCUUGCUUCCCCUUCUCAUUCAAACUUCAAGAAGUAGUCGUCUCUCUCUCUCCUGUUUCCACUUCCUCCCCUGAAUUAUUGCCUGGGUUCUAGCCACACACACUUCCAAAAUCACUGUUGCUGAGGUCAACACCAGCCACUGGAUUGAAAGCAAUGGAUGCUUUUCCAUCUUUAUCUUCCUAGACCACUUGUACUGGCAUCCAAUACUUUUCCUCCUUCCCCCCAUCCCCUGGAAGUCUCUGCCUAAGUUCUACGUGCCUUAUUCCCCCUGGCUUUUACUGGAUCUUUUCCAACCAUCUUCAUGUGUCCUCUUCAUAAGGCUUUCUUCUCCUCCUCUGACAGCCCUUCAAAUAGAAGUGCUCCCCAGAUUUUCAUCUUGAAUCAUUCAGUACCGAGCUUCCCAACCAACCUGUCAGAAAUCAGUGCUCAGGGCCUUCCCUAGAUGCUGAUCCUCUCAGCCCUUGCGAGUACCCCAGCCUGUUAUCCCAGAGUGCCAGACACAUUAUUGUUUUCUCCGUAUGUCAUCAUGUGACUGUCACAGGCUCCCUCGGGGAUUCCAUCCUCCUCCCUGGUUUCAAUUGUCAUCAGUGUCAUGAUGACUCUGAAACUUACAUCCUAGAGCCAUAGUGGAAGCUUGAGAAUCACCUGGAGUCUUCCCUCUCCUUUCUUUCCCAUACCUACAUAAUUUUACACCUAUCUGAUCCUUGCCUGCUUAUCUCAGACCCCAGCACCUCUUGCCUGAAUUAUUCCAGAAUCCUCCUGACUGAUCUCUAUGAGUCUUUAUGAUUCUCAAAUCUACCUUCCACACAGCUGCCAGAAGAGUCUAUCCAAAAAUGCAAAUGUAACUACACCACUCCCUGGCUUAAGAGCCUCCAGUGGCUCUUAAUUGCCGACAGGAUGAAGUCCAAGCUCCUGUAUACCAGAAACACCAUGGUUAGUUAAACCUUACUUUUUUCCCCAGCCUCACUUCCUCCCUCACACCUCUUUCUGUUCUGCAGUCCAGACCUUUACCCAGGCUGCCUGUACAUCUGGAAUGUUCUUGCCUUCUAGAGUCAUCUAGAAGGUCAGGCCCCAUUCCUAGGGUUUCACCUCCCCCAGGCCUUCUCUGUUAAGCCUCAGCUCAGAGGCUGUCCCAGUCCUCUCCCUGCUCCCCCAGGAAGCGGCGCAGUCUGUUUCUCAGAAUAUCUUAGCCUUAUUUCUAUUGUAGCAUCACAAUUAUCUAUAAUAUAUUUCUCUUCCAAUAGAUACCAUGUUCUUUUGUAUUCUGUCAACACAUAGAAAAUAGUCAAUAAAUAACUGAUAAAUAAAUGUAGCCUUAGGCUGUUCAAAAAAAUAAAUAAAUAAGAUACUCUCAAUUCUAGAAGCAACAUUUAGAUUCCUUUGGAACAAACCUCUGGUCUUUGUGUUUUAUGUUUGAGACUUAUUUGAAAGGAGUACUUCAAGCCUCUUUAAUUAAAACACAGACAGGGGCUGGGGAUAUAGCUCAGUGAUAGAGUGCUUGCUUUUCAUGCAUAAGGCCCUGGGUUCAACCCCAGCACCACACACACACACACACACACACAAAAGACAGACAUACCAAAAUUAGGCCAAAGGACCCUUCAAAUAAUUUUGUUUUGUUUAAAUCAGGUUGUAUGUGGUUUUCUUUGAAUUAUGUUUUGGAACAUAGAUUUUUUCAACUCCUGCCCUCCUCCCCAUUCCUCCACAGCCCCAAGUCCACACCUACCAUCAAUCAUUUGGAUAUUCUCCUUCUUGCUCAACCAGGACUGCCUGGGUUUACAGGCCCAGAAACUUGGUAGUUUCCAAAGCAUUUUCAUAUGCAUAUAUUAUUUUUUACUUACAAACCUCUGAAUAUAGCAAAAAAGAGAUCAUAUCCAUUUUAACAGGGGGAAAAAUGAAACUGAAAAAAUUGUGAUUUUUUUUUUCCCCAAGUCAGUGACUAACAUGUAGCUGUGUAAACCCUGACUCAGGCCAUCAACUUCCCCCACCCAUUGCACCACCCUGCCUCUGGUUAUAACUUCAGUUAUUUUGUUGUUGUUUGUUUUGUUUGUUUUUUUUCCCUUUCUUUCUUCCUCUCAUUCUUUUUGUGAUACAAUUUUAUUUGUAUGUCAAGUAUCUGUAAAUUCAGAUUAGAGAAUAUUUUUGGUUAUGUGCUUCAUACAUUUAUAUACUAAUAACUUCUGCCAUAUAUGUUGAUGCUAAAUUCUGUCCCAGCUGACUUGGCUGGAAAGCCAGCCACACUUCAAUUAAAAGGGAUUGAAGCCAUCCAACCUACUACAGAAUACCAAUUCAAUAGGCAAAAUGUAUCUUGAAAUGUGUCUAGUUCAAUCACUAACUUGGUGUUUAAAUGCUUUCUAAAACAGUUCAAACAGUUCUCCCGCCAUUGCUUGAUUAUCCCCAGUGACACGGAGCUCACAAUCCCUAGAAGGGACGUUGACAAAUUUUAGAACCAUGAAAUAGGUUUUCUCUAUAUCUUCAUGCAAUUUCCUCUUGCUAAAAGUGAAAUAGUCAAUGUAAAUUGCAAAUCACUAUGAUAUCUUCAGUAAGUGCAUGUAGCAAGUGCUCAAAAAUUAUUUGUUAAGUGAACAAAUAACUCUUCCCUUACUGUUGGCUAGUUUUAAAGCAGUAAUUCCUCAUGUCACCAUAUUUUUAAAAACAAAGCACACUCUUUUAGUGUAGUAAAUAAAUGACUUUCCUCUUAGGAAUGAUCAUCCAGUUGACCUGCUCCUUCAUCAGGUACCAAGAUGUGGGACAGCCAAACAGCCUGUGACCUGAGUCAUGCAAAUCUAACUUCUUCUACAUGUAAUAAGAAUCAUUAUUUCAAUUUCUAUCCAAUCCCUUAUCUGGUGAUUAAAACCUAAGUUAUCAAUCUUGCUGGAGUAAAUCUUGACAAAUCAAAGUAGAAAAAAAGAGGACAUUUUAAAGAGCUCUUGUGCAGAAGACACAGAGUGUUUCUUGUUUUACUUAUACAGAGCCUGGGUGAGUUUCCAUCAAGGACCAGAGUUUGGACUCUACUGAAGCCACUUCAUAUUCCAGAUCUCUACUAUUUGAAUGGGAAAACGGCAUCAAGAUUAUUAACCCUGAGUACAUCCCUGGGAGGUUGACCUUACUACCCCAUCUAGAUCUGACUGACUAUCCUCUUUGCUUAAGUCCCAGGAGAUUACAGCAAACGAGUAUACCAAGGCGUGAGAGUGAAGCACACGGUCAAAGAUCUCCUGGCAGAAAAACGAUCCAGACAGAGUGACUCCAGACUUAACGUGAGUCCCAGCUUGACACACACUG